rnacentral:rRNA from 1 species
UACAGAGGGUGCAAACGUUGUUCGGAAUUACUGGGCGUAAAGCGUGUGUAGGCGGUUUAUUAAGUCGGGCGUGAAAGCUUCGGGCUCAACCCGAAAAGUGCACUCGAUACUGGUAAGCUAGAAUCUCGGAGAGGUUGGUAGAAUUCUUGGUGUAGAGGUGAAAUUCGUAGAUAUCAAGAGGAAUACCGGCGGCGAAGGCGGCCAACUGGACGAAGAUUGACGCUGAGACACGAAAGCAUGGGGAGCAAACAGG